rnacentral:tRNA from 1 species
CUUAAUGUAGUUUAAUGGCAGAACGACUAGCAGUGAACUAGUAAGAGGAAGGGUUCAAAUCCCCCCAUCAAUU